rnacentral:rRNA from 1 species
GGUAUUUUGACCGUGCAAAGGUAGCAUAAUCAUUAGUUUUUUAAUUGAAAGCUGGAAUGAAAGGUUGGAUGAGAAAUAAGCUGUCUCUAUUUAAUUUUAUUAGAAUUUUAUUUUUAAGUAAAAAAGCUUAAAUUUUAAUAGAAGACGAGAAGACCCUAUAGAGUUUUAUUUAUUUUAAAAAUAAAAUUAAUAGUAUUAAUUAUUUUUAUUUGUGAGAUAAAUUUAGUUGGGGUGAUUGAAAAAUUUAAUAAACUUUUUUUAUAUAUAUAUACAUUGAUAUAUGAUUAAUUGAUCCUUAAUUUAAGAUUAAAAGAUAAAAUUACCUUAGGGAUAACAGCGUAAUUUUUUUUGAGAGUUCUAAUCGAAAAAAAAGAUUGCGACCUCGAUGUUGGAUUAAAAUAAAAUUUUGGUGUAGAAGCUAAAA